rnacentral:rRNA from 1 species
GAUGAACGCUGGCGGCGUGCCUAAUACAUGCAAGUCGAGCGAACGGACGAGAAGCUUGCUUCUCUGAUGUUAGCGGCGGACGGGUGAGUAACACGUGGAUAACCUACCUAUAAGACUGGGAUAACUUCGGGAAACCGGAGCUAAUACCGGAUAAUAUUUUGAACCGCAUGGUUCAAUAGUGAAAGACGGUCUUGCUGUCACUUAUAGAUGGAUCCGCGCUGCAUUAGCUAGUUGGUAAGGUAACGGCUUACCAAGGCAACGAUGCAUAGCCGACCUGAGAGGGUGAUCGGCCACACUGGAACUGAGACACGGUCCAAACUCCGACGGGAGGCAGCAGUAGGGAAUCUUCCGCAAUGGGCGAAAGCCUGACGGAGCAACGCCGCGUGAGUGAUGAAGGUCUUCGGAUCGUAAAACUCUGUUAUUAGGGAAGAACAUAUGUGUAAGUAACUGUGCACAUCUUGACGGUACCUAAUCAGAAAGCCACGGCUAACUACGUG